rnacentral:rRNA from 1 species
UACGGAGGGUGCGAGCGUUGUCCGGAAUCACUGGGCGUAAAGGGCGCGUAGGCGGCGCGGCUAGUCGGCGGUGAAAGCCCGGAGCUCAACUCCGGGUCGGCCGUCGAUACUUGCGGGCUUGAGCACUGUAGAGGCAGAUGGAAUUCCGGGUGUAGCGGUGGAAUGCGUAGAGAUCCGGAAGAACACCGGUGGCGAAGGCGGUCUGCUGGGCAGUUGCUGACGCUGAUGCGCGACAGCGUGGGGAGCAAACAGG